UACGUAGGGUCCGAGCGUUGUCCGGAAUUAUUGGGCGUAAAGAGCUCGUAGGCGGUUUGUCGCGUCUGCUGUGAAAUCCCGAGGCUCAACCUCGGGCCUGCAGUGGGUACGGGCAGACUGGAGUGCGGUAGGGGAGAAUGGAAUUCCUGGUGUAGCGGUGGAAUGCGCAGAUAUCAGGAGGAACACCAGCGGCGAAGGCGGCGCUCUGGGCCGGAACUGACGCUGAGGAGCGAAAGCGUGGGUAGCAAACAGG
rnacentral:rRNA from 1 species